UUAAACUCAGAAUAGAUUGGGUUUUUUUAAUAAGUCUGUACACAUUGUCCAAAAGAUUGCACAAUGGGAUGCCAGCGACAGUUAGAGGCUGACAUCCGCUUUUCCAUUUCCUGAUCAGGAGCCUGUGCUGAGUUGCAGACAGGAGAGAUCAGGGGGGGCAAGAUGGGCUGUCUGGACAGUCCAAACAGAUGGUUUCAGUUCCUUAAAAGUGGAGGUGAUCAUGCGGUCAGUGUAUGGGGCAAGUGUGCGAGUUGGGAGGGGGUAAAGAUACAGUAAACUAUAAAUUACAUCUGAUCGAGAUGCAAGUUGGGAGAUUGUUGCGGGUAUCUGCCUGGGUGCAAUCCAGACAUCAGUCUGAGCACAGGGGAUGAUUACCACGUAACUCGGACAGGGAAUUCAACAUGAUCUGCAAAGGAAUAACUGUUCUGAUGGAAUUAUGGACCAAAGUACUGCGUUUCCUGCAGUGUUGGAGGAUUACUGAACUGUGAUCUGGAAAUAAUGCUGUCUGAAGGAACAUUACUGAACUCUAUUUUCCAUGUGAGGAAUACUGGACCAAACAACAAAAAUGGAUAUAUGCAGAUCUAAAUCUGGUCCGGACCCCCGUCCACUUCCCCCUGGGCCCCGGCGGGUCUCAGGUGAGCAGCCGGGUGUGGCCACACCGUGACUGCUCUCCCUCCAAAUUAUGUAAUCUGGGAUUGUGACACUGAUGAGACGUGGGCAAAAGUAUCUGUCAGGGUGCUGAUUGUUGUCAGUGAAGAUGAGCAAGUCGUUCCAAAUCAGCUCCACCUUCACCCAAUAUCUACUGCCAUCGUUGUUGAGGGAGGUAUUGUAAUGGACGAUGUCCAGAACCUGCCUGAGGCACUUUGCCUUUUGUUUGGAUUGUCAUACGCUUUACAUUUAGACGACCCAAAGGCCAUGAAAAACACUUUGGGCUUCAUUCAAAGAGUGAUGCUUGGCCUGGGAGAGAGCAAACUCCCUCCAAAAUUGCAAAGUCUUAAAAAUCUCUUGUUGAGUUAGAAUGCAAAUGCACAAGUGGAUUCAGUUGUUUCUUAUUGUUCACUGUAUUAAAGUCAGCCCACGGGUUCAUCAGCAAGUUAGAGGCUGUAGAUGUUCGUACAUUCAUUCACACAGGUGAGAUUGCCAGUCUUUACCCUCUCAGGUUUUUGUGUUAAAUACAGUGUUAUAAGGAGAAGAAAAAUAAAAGGCCAUUUAUGUUUGAACUUUCAGCAGUUAUUACCUUCAUUUAUUAUGUUUAAUUGUAAUUCGGAUUAUUUUAAGAAAUUGGAGCCUGUUUUUCAUUCCUUUAUGGAUAUUUUUGAACCACUUAAAUUGCUGAAGUUCAGUUUGCAUGGCUUUAGAAAAGAAGUCAGAUUACUGUCUAAGUAAAUAUAUAACUUAGAAAUGCUAAGUUAGUUCAACUUAGAUAAGUAUGUUAAAUGAACUGAGCAGUGUAAAUUUAACAUGCAAUUAUUUAGUAGAUUGAAAUAGUAAUUCUGAGUAGUCUUUACUAAGUCAAGCGUGUUCUAAAAUGAGUUAUCAAGUACAGUCUACUUGAUUGUUUUAGUUGCUUAAACUCAUUUGUAAGUGUACUCUACAAAGGAAGUGCUUGUUAGUACAACUAAAUUUAACUCGUUCUCUUUACUUGUUUUUUUUAAGUGCAACCGGUUUGCAUGCUUUUUUUAAGUAAUGAUAACUAAUUGGAUUUUACAGUGUAACAGGGUUAUGUAGUAUGCACUGCCAACAGUUUCUUUGGCCUGGUGUUACAGAAACAUCAAACUAGAAAGACAUUUUUGUCCCUUGCAGUGAAUGGAAGUGUGAUAAAGUACUGAUGUAUAAAGAUCAAUAUUAGGGGGGGUUUGCAUGUUUCAGUCAAUUGUGUACAAAUUGCAUGAGAAUUAGAUUACUAACAUUUUGGCGUUAUGAUGCUUGAUUGUAUUUUUCUAAUACACUGUGAUACUUACAAAUCUGUGCAUGUCUUUUCAGUGUGUUUCAGGGAGUGGCAGAAAAAACAGAAUGUGGAACAAGCAGAAUUGGAAGCCAGGGUGGGAAAGGCUGGAUGUUGCAUCUCCGAAAAAAUCAUGGACAUUAAUAGACAAAACAAAAAGGCCACUUAAGUGGUGAGUGUCUAAGUCCAAAACAUUUCCAGUUGUACAGUAUAUUGCAUUCUCAUGUUUUGGAUUUUCCUUGUUUAGGCCCAUAGAUGUAUUGUGUGUUUAUUUGUAAUCUUAGUCAUUCAUCUUAUUAAAUAAUAUUAUGUAAUAUAUUUCCUAAUGUUUGUUACCUUAUUGUUAUUAAACUACAUUGUCAUGAAA